rnacentral:rRNA from 1 species
UCUUUCUUUGCUGGCGACCGGCGCACGGGUGAGUAACACGUAUCCAACCUGCCCUUUACUCGGGGAUAGCCUUUCGAAAGAAAGAUUAAUACCCGAUAGCAUAAUGAUUCCGCAUGGUUUCAUUAUUAAAGGAUCCGGUAAAGGAUGGGGAUGCGUUCCAUUAGGUUGUUGGUGGGGUAACGGCCCACCAAGCCUUCGAUGGAUAGGGGUUCUGAGAGGAAGGUCCCCCACAUUGGAACUGAGACACGGUCCAA